GACGAACGCUGGCGGCGUGCUUAACACAUGCAAGUCGAGCGAUGAAACACCUUCGGGUGCGGAUUAGCGGCGAACGGGUGAGGAACACGUGAGGAAUCUGCCUUCCACUCUGGGAUAACUCCGGGAAACCGGGGCUAAUACCGGAUACUUUCAACUGGCGGCAUCGCCGGUUGAUGAAAGUUUUUCGGUGGAAGAUGACCUCGCGGCCUAUCAGCUUGUUGGUGAGGUAAAGGCUCACCAAGGCGACGACGGGUAGCCGGCCUGCGGGGGCGACCGGCCACACUGGGACUGAGACACGGCCCAGACUCCUACGGGAGGCAGCAGUGGGGAAUAUUGGGCAAUGGAGGAAACUCUGACCCAGCGACGCCGCGUGAGGGAUGAAGGCCUUCGGGUUGUAAACCUCUUUCAGCAGGGAAUAAGCGAAAGUGAAGGUACCUGCAGAAGAAGCACCGGCUAACUAUGUGCCAGCCGCCGCCGUAA
rnacentral:rRNA from 1 species